AUUGAACGCUAGCGGGAUGCUUUACACAUGCAAGUCGAACGAGUGGCGGACGGGUGAGUAAUAUAUCGGAACGUGCCCAGUAGCGGGGGAUAACUACUCGAAAGAGUGGCUAAUCCCGCAUACUAUUGGAGCGGCCGAUAUCGGAUUAGCUAGUUGGUGGGGUACAGGCUCACCAAGGCAACGAUCCGUAGCUGGUUUGAGAGGACGACCAGCCACACUGGGAAUGAGAAACGGCCCAGACUCCUACGGGAGUCAGGAGUAGGGAAUAUUGCACAAUGGGCGCAAGCCAUAUCCAGCCAUCCCGCGUGUAUGAGAAGGCCUUCGGGUUGUAAAGUACUGUUGGCAGAGAAGCGGUAUCUGCAGAAUAAGCACCGGCUAACUACGUGCCAGCAGCCGCGGUAAUUC
rnacentral:rRNA from 1 species